rnacentral:rRNA from 1 species
UACGUAGGGGGGCAAGCGUUGUCCGGAAUCAUUGGGCGUAAAGCGCGUGUAGGCGGCUCGGUAAGUCUGCUCUGAAAGUCCAGGGCUCAACCCUGGGAUGCGGGUGGAUACUGCCGGGCUCGAGUCCGGAAGAGGCGAGUGGAAUUCCCGGUGUAGCGGUGAAAUGCGCAGAUAUCGGGAGGAACACCAAUGGCGAAGGCAGCUCGCUGGGACGUGACUGACGCUGAGACGCGAAAGCGUGGGGAGCAAACAGG